rnacentral:rRNA from 1 species
GAUGAACGCUGGCGGCGUGCCUAAUACAUGCAAGUCGAGCGAACGGACGAGAAGCUUGCUUUUCUGAUGUUAGCGGCGGACGGGUGAGUAACACGUGGAUAACCUACCUAUAAGACUGGGAUAACUUCGGGAAACCGGAGCUAAUACCGGAUAAUAUUUUGAACCGCAUGGUUCAAAAGUGAAAGACGGUCUUGCUGUCACUUAUAGAUGGAUCCGCGCUGCAUUAGCUAGUAGGUAAGGUAACGGCUUACCAAGGCAACGAUGCAUAGCCGACCUGAGAGGGUGAUCGGCCACACUGGAACUGAGACACGGUCCAGACUCCUACGGGAGGCAGCAGUAGGGAAUCUUCCGCAAUGGGCGAAAGCCUGACGGAGCAACGCCGCGUGAGUGAUGAAGGUCUUCGGAUCGUAAAACUCUGUUAUUAGGGAAGAACAUAUGUGUAAGUAACUGUGCACAUCUUGACGGUACCUAAUCAGAAAGCCACGGCUAACUACGUG